GACGAACGCUGGCGGCGUGCUUAACACAUGCAAGUCGAACGGAAAGGCCCUGCUUUUGUGGGGUGCUCGAGUGGCGAACGGGUGAGUAAUACGUGAGUAACCUGCCCUUGACUUUGGGAUAACUUCAGGAAACUGGUGCUAAUACCGGAUAGGAGCUCCUGCUGCAUGGUGGUGGUUGGAAAGUUUCGGCGGUUGGGGAUGGACGCGCGGGUUAUCAGCUUGUUGGUGGGGUAGUGGCUUACCAAGGCUUUGGCGGCUAGCCGGCAUGAGAGGUUGACCGCCCACAUUGGGACUAAGAUACGGACCAGACUCCUACGGGAGGCAGAAGUGGGGAAUAUUGUACAGUGGGCGGAAGCCUGAUGAAGCAACGCUCCGUGCGGGAUGACGGCCUUCGGGUUGUAAACCGCUUUCGCCUGUGACGAAGCGUUAGUGACGGUAAUGGGUAAAGAAGCACCGGCUAACUACGUG
rnacentral:rRNA from 1 species